GAUGACCUCUAGGAGUUCGGACUCUCCAACAUGACCCAUCUUUUUCAUUGCAAUCAAAUACUGGCCAUGUAUAUCCAGGUAACAUUCAACCCCAUACCAUCACAUAUCUACGAAAUCACUUACUAAGAGAUGACUAAACUUAAGGACACUGAAAAAUAUUAACUCACAGAAUGUAUACAUAUGAUAUUCAUGUUUCAAAACUGACAAUCUUAAACAUGAGGCUUUUCGACAGUGCGAUAUACUAUGACUCACCUGAGAGUCCCCAAGUGUGCAAGACGAUGGAGAUGUCCUUUCCCUGAAUAUUCAAAUAAAAACCAUCUGACUCAUCUUGCAGGACUGCAGAUAAAUAUGUGUCUUUCACAUUCCUUUUUCUAAAUUUUCCCAAGACACGCGGAGGAUACUUACACCUUCUACUGCCCAAACUUAGGUAUCAUUACCCAUUUCCUCUUCUUUCAUAAGCCAUUUUCUCUGUUGUUGGCUAACUCAUAGAAUCCAAGGAGGGAUGGCAUCCCUAGAAAGGAUGUUGUUACCUUGGUGUCAGCUUCAGAGGAAGAAGCAGUUAUGCUCACAUCAUGAGCUCAGCACAACAUGGUUAAAGAAUCAUCUCAUAAUUUCCCUCAGCAGAGUUUCACCCAGGCUUCAAUGAUGAAUAAAGCUUCAUUUAAAAUUUAAAUAUAAGUCAAGGAGUAAGAAUAAUAAAAUUACCGUCAGUGUUAUCAGGGCUCCCCAAGAUCAUGGGCCAUGCCAUUCUGUGAGAAGUUCCCUACAUCUAACCUCCUUCCUUUAUCCUUGGCUCCAAGGCGGGGUCUGACUGAGGUCGACUCUGUGAAUCACGGUCUUUUCACUGUCUCUCCUCAUCCCCCGGUGGCCCUUGUCUCCUGUUCCUAUCACCCACCACCCGAAGCAACAAAGAUUCAGUUAGCCUAACAACCUCUCAGAAUAGUGAAGAGUCCUGUUAAGGAGAGUCUCCACUCAAAACUGAAUCUGGGGUCCCCACUGUGGCUCAGUGGGUUAAGGAUCCGGCAUUGCAGCAAGUUGCAGUGUAGGUUGCAGGUGCGGCUCAGAUCCAGUGUUGCUGUGGCUGUGGUGUAGACCUCAAAUGUAGCUUUGUUUCAACCCCUAGCCUGGGUACUUCCAUAUGCUGCAGGUGUGGCCAUAAAAAGAAAAAAAAAAACACCUAAAUCUUCCUCCCCCUGCCAACCUUCCUUCAUUGUAGAAUUCAUAAAUAGUUGCAUGUUUAAAAAGUGGGCCCACUGCAUGUAUUAAACCACUGCAGUCUAUGAGAAAAAAAAAUGUUCUUGGGGCUAAAAUGUGUUAUCCAUGCCACUUUUCAAAGGAAGAAGGAAGAGAGGCAGAGAAGCAAGUGGGGGAGAAAGGGAUGGUGUAGUUCUAGGGCUAGAAAAGGAAACACAGCAAAGAAGGGACACGAUGUCUUGCAAGACACAACUGGACCCUUGCUAUCCCACAGAACACUAGAAACUUCAGAGCAUUGUUAGCCUGUGCGUGCGUGUGGCUGUGGUUAUUUUCAUUAUGGUUAUGAUAUACGAGCCUAUAUGGAAUUCAGUAGAAUAUUACACAUAACAUGACACCGCAUUUUUAUGUCCUUAACGAUUGUAACGAUAAAGACAUGUUAAGAAAUUCUCGUGAAUUAUGUACAGGGAAAUACCAAAAGUGCAGCAAUUUUCCUCCUUUCCUUCUCUUUUUUUGGUAGGUUAGGAGCUGAGCAAAGGUCAACAGAACAUAGAAUGUCUAUCCGGAUACUCUCCAAUUGCCUGUUCCCACGUUCUAACGUCAGGGUACGAGUCCAAGGCUAUUUCACCAAGCUAACCCUCUAUCACUCUGGGACCAGCCACCAGGGAAUCUGGACCAAAGUGCCAGAACAGGAGCAGAGCAAGUUUGCAGGAGACCUAACUAGGCAGUUACUAAACACAGCAAGGAGGUGAAAGUAUCGCCCGCACGCUACAGGCUAUUUAGCGACCUCCAGGUUAAGAAAUGAAACUUGUCUGUGUUUGUAACACUGCCUCCACCCACCCCAUCUUCCGCCCCAGCCAGUUUCAGACCAUCACGUCUAAAACCUACAGAUUAGGAGCAAGGGGAGAAACGAAACGUGACUAACUGCGGUAUCACCCUAUCACCAAGGACUCACUCCGUGAUGCGUGCCCAUGACCGUUAGCAGAGGAAUUCCUCUGCGAGAUGAGCACCUAGAGGUUUGAUUGCCUUGAAUUUUAAGUUUGAUUUCAUUAAACCCGGCUCUCACAAAUACAAUCACGAUAACAAAAAGAUUUCUUGAGAGGAAGGUGUCCUCUUCCCUGUGCUCGGUCAUGCUUACAGGCACACAAACCGAAUUCUGGAAACGGAAGGGAAAGCUCAAUGUUCACAUGGUAAGGCGAGGCUGAGAGAGGAUAAGCCAUGUGUACAAGGCCACACCAGUGCUAAGAGUUAGGACGUGGCCCUCCACUUCCCAGCUACUGUGUUCUUACACGCACCCCAGUAAGCCUCCAAUGUCUGCAUACCUCAUAAGCACCAUGGGUGCUCUUGAAAGAGCCAAGCUCCUAGUCUCAUCCUCAGAGCAUCUUGGUUGCUAGAUCGGAUGGGACCUGGGACUCUGUAUUUCUACUGGGUGCCCCUUGUGAUUUCAAUGCAAACGGAUCACACUUUGGGACAGUGUGCAAUGCCAUCCGGCUGCUGAAAAGAGCACCAAAGUUUGCUCAUGAUCUUUAUACCCAUUUUUAUUCUCGUAGAACCCUUCUCUCUCACAUUUCUCCUUUGCUAACGGGCUCAUGAUUACGUCUGGCUUGUCACUAGGCAGAAAUCAUGUUUAAAACCUCAAUGCUUUAUAAACUCUACAGAGUAUUUUGUGUUGGGACGUGGAAAGAACCGUUUCCCACAGAGGGAGAUGGUGUAUCUUUUAAAGAACUGCACAAGUAAUGCGUGUACAUGUGCUCACUGAAAAAUUUUAACAGUGCAGCAUGAAUAGUACAAGUUCUACCUUCAUCCCUCCCCUAACCUCACUCCGCAAAGUUACUCACUGCUGUUAGAUACACACCGUUCAGAUUCUUCUAUACAUUUCCAUACUUGUGUGUGUGUUUGUCCUUUUACUUGUGGAAAGUUUUGCUUAUAGAAUGAUCUUGGCUUUUUUUUUUUUUUUUUUCCAUUACACAGGUGACAGAGGAUAUUGUCACUAGCACAGAACUUAAAUCAAGGACACCUCAGGAUACGUGACUGCUGCUGGUAAUUCUAGCAUCUGCCCUUGAUCUUUUUAAAAAUAAAGACUUCCUGGAUCUCACUCACCUUCCCAAAUACAUUUUGGUCAGUAAAUAGUGUUCCUCAGUUCUAUAAAAAUAUCCGUGAGGAUGCUAAAGGAACAGGAAAGGGCUGGCAGUCACAUAGUGUCAAUGUGUGACUACUAUGACAGAGUUCUCAGGUGAACAAGGCGCUAAGCUAAUUCAACUCCUUGUAAGCCCUGCAUGACUGAGAAUCUGAUUCUGUGAGAAGGGUUACGGGGGUGUGGCCAGGGCGGUCAAGGGGGUGCUGCUGCACAUUCACACAAAAUGUACAACAUUCCUCCUGCUUUGCCACUUUCUAAACCUCACAAUCCAAUUGCCACCUUCAGCACCCAAGUGAAAUGGCUCUUGUCAAGGUCACCCAAGACUCCUAACUACCGAACUUCAUUCUCUUGACUUCUGGCAGCAUUUUUUACUUAACAAUUUCUUCCUUCUGCAAAGACUCCUCCUCUCUUCUCUCUUUCCUGGUUCUGGUGAAACUGAGUAUUCAUGGUCCAUCUUUACCAGUGUCUCUGAAAUAUACCUUAGGAUUCCAUUCUAGGAGUGCUUAUUCUGGCUCUGUAUCCUCUGUCUGAUGGAGCUCAUGAAACCCCACAGCCUCGGCAAUGACACCCAGAUCUUCAUCUCCAGCUUCAUUGUACACAGAGCUCAGGGCUCACCUUCUUAGGAGCACCUGCAACUCAAACAGCACCUCUGCCAGCAAACCGGUGUGUCUCCCUCCCUGUCUUUCCAGAAAUCUCUACCCCAUGUAUUACUCAUAUCAGUUAAGGACAAAACACCACAUCAGCUCCCGAAUUAGAAACUUCAUCCACAUCGGUCAUUCCUCCCUUUACCUUAUUCUUCGCAUCAAAUCCUAUAGCUUCUACCUCUGAAAUACAAAGGUACUCCACCCUCUCCAUUCUGCUCCCGUUGCUAUUACCCUAGUCAUCAUCGUCCCCACUAGGACCAAAGUCCCCCUAGCAGGCAUCUCUACAUGAAAUAUCUUUCCUCCGCCCAUUCCAAACAUUUUGCACCAAAGAAGUUCAUGUUUCUGAAACCUAUGACAUAGCUAUCACUCCCCAUGUAGUAACUUUUAAGUGGUUUCCUGUAACCUACAGGGUAUAAAUUUAAAUUCUCAACGUACUUUCUAACCCCGCCUGAACCUACAUUCCCAGCCUUAUUCCUGGUCACAAAUAACUCGGUAAUUCCCCCCAAAUGCCAUAAGCUUACUCAUCGAUGUUUUGGGCAUUCAGUUCCCCCAACCAGGUUGAGUGAACUCUUGCCAAUAACUUCUUUAGUGCAAAAAAUAAAUUCUUUCUCUGCAAAUCCAUGCCUGGCAACACAUGACUACAACCUCUUUCGAGGUACCCACAUCUUCCUUUGUGCUCCCACUUUGUACCCACCUGUACCCAGACACUUCCCCUAGCAUUCACUCACAGAGUCUUUCAGACGGCAUGUAAAUAAGCAUCCUUAACAGUGCAAAGUAAUAUAAUUCUAAACCCUACCGACCCUAAUAAACCUGCUAACUCUGCACCAACUUCCAGCAUCUAGAACCGUGCCUUGUAUACAAAAGUUUCUCAACAAACGUUCAUUGUUAAAUGAAUGAAUGAAACAUAAAUAACAGCCCUACAUGGAAAUGACCUUCAUCUUAUUUCUCGCGAAGCUGGUCACUGGAAAGCCACAGAUUUGAACCCUAUUCCCAGCUCUGAACCUGCCGUCCAGAAUUUGCUCAUUCACACUUGUAUUAGUCCCAUAUUUAGUAACUAUUUAGUAUCUGUAGUGCACCGUGGCUCUAGGUGCCAGGCAGUAGCAGUGAACAAGACAGACAAUGUCCUGAUCUCCUGCAAUUUAUAUCCUAGUAGGAAAAAAACAAACAAACAAGCUAUAGACAAAUACAGAAGGAGAAUAUAUGGCAUUCUAAUCAGUGAUGAAUAUUAGGGAGGAAAAUAAAGCUUAAAGGGAGAUAGAGUGCUGGGAGCAUGACUAAAGGUUUGAGGGGGGAAAUUCGAAAUAGAGAGGUCGAGGAAUGGCUUAGGGAGGCAUGAUUCUAAUUGGUAAUUCAGGGGUGGCUUCCUACAAAAGCCAAGAAAACAGGAUUCCAAACCUACCUUCCUGGUUCCUUCUCAGAAUAAAAAAGCAGGGAGCGAGGGACAAGGAGGCCUAUGAUACGCAAUCGUGUGAUGUGGGUUUAUAACAAAGGCAAGCACAGUGUCGUCAACCUGGACCCGGAGUUCUAAGUUCUUAAUGCUCUUAGGAGAGCCUCUGGACUUUAUAAGAAAAAGCUUGAAGCCCUACGGCCUUGCCCUUGUGGGGAGCUUUGGAGAAGAGGCUCAGGUAGUUUAUCAGAGACAGGCUUGGACCUGAACUCUCCAGUCAGGUCGAGGCAGGCUUGUAGCGUGGAAAAGCCCAAGGAGCUCAGGGUUAAGAGCGAUGGAAUGAAAAAUGAAUCGGGCAGUAGGCCCAGGCAAGGGGCCUGUUAAAUUUAUCUUUUUCCACUUCACAGGAGACAAAGAACCCAAUCACAAACUAUUUUCUAAAUCAACCACUUCUGAACAUUUUUUCAUAAUUAAAUUCACAUAUACCAUUUUAAAAAACAGUGUCAACCAUUUUUAUGGUGUAAGGCUUACGUAUCUUCAGAAAACACUAUUUCCAGAAUUACUUGCAUAAUGUUAUUUAGUUACAACUAACAAACAUCAUGUGAAAGGAAAGGAAUAUUCGAAUAAUGAAAUAUUACAAUCUCAUUCUCUAGCAAAAUUUAAAUCCUUUAAAUGCCGUAUUUAAUUGUUUUACUGACCUUCUAGAAGGCUUCUUGGAGUUUUUCUUACCUUAUGACUAAAUGGCAGAAAUUAUCAAUGAGAGUAUUGUGACUAAAACUGUGCCCAAAGUCAGACCCAUUUAAAAAAAAAAAAAAA
rnacentral:lncRNA from 1 species